GAAUAGGAAUAUUUCUCUUCAGAAAGCACAAAAACAUAUCCUUUGAUCCACAGCUUGUUUGCAUGCAACAUUUUGAAAGAAGAAUGAAUUUGAAAGUAGCAGAUGAUACUCCUUAAUUCAGUGCUUGUCUAGCGGAAAGAUAAGGAAAUGAAGAGAAAUAAACAUGUUAAACGAGACACUUCUGGGAUCAAAAGGAAAAAAUUCAAAUAAUUUUGUUUUUACUCUUCUGAAAAUUCUCCAAAAGGUUUUCAUGACAGAUUCAGAGCUCAUACAGGAGAGACCGGCAAUGAAAGGGAAGAUAUGGAUGCGAAAAGGGCCACUCAUACAAGUCAACUUGGAGGUUCCCGUCUCCGAACUCUUGAUCAAACAUCAGGUCCUACAGGAAUCUAGCUAUCUGGCAAGAUAGAUGAAAAGAUGAUACAGCGGGAUGUUCUACGGUUGUAUUUUUUCCUAAGUUUCAACAUCUAAAUUGUUCAGGAACCACAUCUUAGUUCAAGUACUUAACAUCAUGGGAAAUUCCUUCAGUAUAUGAAAACAUUUCACAGAAAAGAUAUCAGGUGCUCUGUGGGACAAGUGGGGAGUUAACAAGUCAUUAUGUAAUUUCCUGUCCAUACACAGUCCAAGACAGAAAAGUCCAACUUCCGUCUCACUUUCACAAUUAGUGACGAUGGCCUCUAACAAGGUCUCCUCAAGAUUAUGAGAGCGAUAAUGUCAAAACUAGCUUCCAAUGAAUCAGACAUUAUAGUUAAUAUGUAAUUCUAUUCAUCCUUCAAGAUUGUCUAUGCAGUCGUGUUCAGCAAAGCAGGACCCCUGUAAAUGUCUAUAAAUGCCUAUUCCUGCCUCCUGUUUAUAUAUCUUCAUUUUACUCUCAUAUUUAAUUUUUGUUAUUUUCUUGUGUCAUUUCUUUAUCUCUGUAUUUGAUGUUUAAUACAGUAAGGGGUCAGUUGGAAGACCAGUUAAAGCAAUAUAUUAAAAUAUACUAAAAAUCUGUCAAUAAAUGGAAUACAUUACUGAAAAAAUAUAUUUUACAAAUAGAUUGACAGAAAAAAUUUUUAAAGUUACAUUUUAAUAUUAAAAAAAAUUACUUAAGUAGAAAAGCAUUAUA